rnacentral:rRNA from 1 species
UACAGAGGUCUCAAGCGUUGUUCGGAUUCAUUGGGCGUAAAGGGUGCGUAGGCGGCGCGGUAAGUCGGGGUGUGAAAUCUCGGGGCUUAACUCCGAAACUGCAUUCGAUACUGCCGUGCUUGAGGACUGGAGAGGAGACUGGAAUUUACGGUGUAGCGGUGAAAUGCGUAGAUAUCGUAAGGAAGACCAGUGGCGAAGGCGGGU